CUUAAAUUGAAGAGUUUGAUCAUGGCUCAGAUUGAACGCUGGCGGCAGGCCUAACACAUGCAAGUCGAGCGGAAACGAGUUAUCUGAACCUCCGGGGAAC
rnacentral:rRNA from 1 species